UAGCUAUAAUUACCCUCUCUAUAAUGCAAUAUCGUAUUAUCCAUUUGUAAUGAAUGAUAGUAACACUUAAUCGGAUUGGAUUCAGUUAAAUCUACAUUUCUCAAGGUCUCUAACAUCGAGAUUUGAAAUAUCUUUCAUGUAAAUACCUACUUUGUCAUGUGACUUGUAUAUAUUCGUGUAUAUUCAGAAUCGUACCUUCGCACAAUGUCUUUGCACAAUGGCACAAGCAACGUGGUCUCUUUCUGUAAAAAAUAGCACUCUUUAUAUCAGCCACAGCAAAGAUCCCGAACCACGUGCAGUCAGCAGAGUUACAGCGUCUGGUUACCGUCUUGCAGUUACGAUACAGAAUAUGUGCACGUAGCUUUCAAUGACCAGACGGAAAAAAGAAUUCAUUUCAAGUAUGUUGAGAAGAAAACGACCCAUCUCUGAAAAAAUCACCUCACCCAAGAAAUGAGAAUGAAAAGUGCAAAGUCUCCCAAGGAAUUGUCUUGUAAUAAAGCAUGUGAAUAAAUAAUUUUUUGAAAUA